CCCGAGAGAAUCCGCCUUGGGGGAUCUGAGGGCGCUUCUCGCUACGGAGCGUGUCUCCAGCCUGGCCAGCGGGCAUGGCGCUUUGCGCUCCUCCAGGGGACCGACCCCGGCGGGGCUAAGCCUCUAGGAGCCCGCUGCGGGAUCUGCGUCGCAGGGAACUUGCAGCUGGGGCCAGAGAUCUCCUCACAGAGAACUUGCAGUGAGGGCUGGUUUCCAGGGGGAGGGAAGUGGACAGGCAAGCACUGAAGGGGUAUUUCUCCCUUCCACCGUAGGGCUGUAUGAUCUGGCGGCAGGUUCCCCUCCGCUAAGCGAAGAGGAACAUGGAGGCUGCAGUAGGACUGCAAGAUUUGACCAAUGAGUUGCAAACUUGUUAUAUGCGGGGGGAGCCUGGUAACUGUGUAAUGAAUUCAGCGGUAUCUCAAAGUGAACGAAAGAGGAACCUAGUCAGCGAAUCGGAAAUGCCCUGGCAAGGCACGCCAUCGUCUCACGUACUAUAGGGACGCAGAUGUCCAAUGUCUUUCCAUCUAAGGGAUAAAGCUGGCUUUCAAUGUCUUGCCACAUCUCCAUGCACCUUCGGAUAAAUGAGGAUACGCAUAGCCGCUUGCGUGAUUUUGAGUCUCGGGGACACUGCAGCGGAGAUGAGCAGCAACCUGGUUCCUGCAGCUGGAACCUCUGCGUAGCUGCAACCACACAACAGAAAAGGCAAAUCCACUCGAGCAAGA